rnacentral:rRNA from 1 species
UACGUAGGUGGCAAGCGUUGUCCGGAUUUACUGGGCGUAAAGAGCGCGCAGGCAGUCGUGCAAGUCGCGUGUGAAAGCCCCCCGGCUCAACUGGGGAGGGUCACGCGAUACUGCUCGACUCGAAGGCAGGAGAGGGAAGUGGAAUUCCCGGUGUAGUGGUGAAAUGCGUAGAUAUCGGGAGGAACACCAGUGGCGAAGGCGACUUCCUGGCCUGUUCUUGACGCUGAGGCGCGAAAGCUAGGGUAGCAAACGGG